rnacentral:misc_RNA from 1 species
UGUCUUGCACCUGACUUCCU